UUCGCUCAGGGCUCCAGAUCCGCAGGACCCGGGAGUCUUAUUUUCUGUGGGCAGUCAGGCCAAAGAUACCCUUUAUCAAAAAGGAUGGAGUUGGGAAAAGGAAGACUUCUCAGGACUGGGCUGAAUGCAUUGUAUCAGGCAGUACAUCCAGUUCAUGGCCUUGUCUGGACUAAUGGGAACCAGGUAGUCCUGACUGAUUUACAGCUUCACAGUGGAGAGGCCAGGUUUGGGGACUCAGAGGUCAUUGGACAGUUUGAACAUGUGUAUGGAGUGUCUUGGGCCCCUCCUGGCACAGCUGACAUGCCUGCUCUGCUCGCUGUGCAGCACAAGAAGCGUGUCAUUGUGUGGCAGCUAUGUCCCAGCAGUACGGGGACGAACAAAUGGCUGAUGUCUCAGACCUGUGAGAUUAGAGAAUCACUCCCUGUCCUUCCCCAGGGCUGUGUGUGGCAUCCAGAAAGUGCUGUCCUGGCUGUGUUGACUGCGCAGCGUGUCUCCAUUUUCCACAGUGUUCACUGUGACAGUUCCCGGGUGAAUGUGGACAUUGACACCCAGGGCCUCAUUCACUGUGCGUCUUGGACCCAGGAUGGCCAGAGGCUGGUGGUGGCAGUUGGCAGCAGCCUGCAUUCCUACAUUUGGGACAGUACUCAGAAGACUCUUCGCAGGUGCUCCUUCCACCCAGUGUUUGAUGUGGACAGCUCUGUGCGCUCCAUCAGAGCCACCGUGGACUCACAGGUCGCUGUAGCCACUGAGCUCCCACUAGAUAAGAUCUGUGGCUUAAAUGCAUCUGAAAUCUUUGAUGUUCCACCUAGCGGUGAAGACCCUUGUCUGUGUACUUUCCCGGUUAUUGAUGAAGUACCCACCGGGGGUAAGGGGGCAGUUGCUUCUAAAACAAGUGUUGAAACAUCAGUUUCUCCCAUUUCUUCCUUUUCAGAUCCUCUGGAUCUAACUCAUAUGCAUUUCAAUACGUCAAAAUCUGAGGGUGGUUCUCUUAUUUGUCUAAGAAAAAAAGACUACUUGACAGGAACUGGCAUGGAUUCUUCACAUCUGGUCCUUGUGACCUUUGAGAAGGAGGUUACGCAGACCAGAAAAGUCACCAUUCCAGGCAUUCUGGUUCCUGAUCUAAUAACAUUUGAUCUUAAAGCUCAGGUGGUAGCAGUGGCUUCUAAUACUUCCAAUAUAAUUUUUAUCUAUUCUGUCAUCCCAUCGUUUCUGCCAAACAUCCAGCAGAUUCAACUUGAGAAAAGUGAAAGACCAAAAGGUAUGUGUUUCUUGACAGAGAAGUUAUUAUUAGUUUUGGUUGGAAGACAGAAAUCCACUGAUUCAGCAUUUCUUCCUUCUUCAAAGACUGAUCAGUAUAUCAUUCGUUUGAUUGUUAGAGAAGUAACAUUGGAAAAAGAAUUGCCAGUAACAUCGAGUGAAAACCAGAGUGGAUACUCUACUUUCAGUACUCCAUUAAGUAAAAUAGACAGAAAAAAGCUACUUGAAAGUCUUUGCCCAGAUUUGUGUCACCAAAACAGAGGGCUCUUCACAUCUGACAGCCAUAAUCAAUGCGAAAGGCCUGGAAGAACCCUUAUUGAAGAAAUCAGGAGCCCUCCAAGCAGUAUCUGUGAUGGCUCCAUAGCUCUCAGAACUCUAGAUGCUGAGCCCGUUAACCGCUCAGUAACACCGCCCAGGUCCAGCGGCACACCAGACCACACCAGCACUCCGGAACUUCCUAAUUUGCCUCAAAGCAAGAACUCACAGAAGGAAAAGGAAACUUACCGACUGUCUAAGGAAAUGGAAAUUUUGUCUAGGACCCUGACUGAAGUGCAGCGAUGUCUUUCUGAACUCACAGACACUCUGCAUAAUGGGAAGAAGUCCUCUCCUGUGUAUCCAUUGUCUCGGGAUCUGCCUUACGUGCGCAUCACUUACCAGAAAUCUCAUUAUGUAGGUCCUGUUGUUGAAAAAAGAGCUGUGCUUCUCUGCAAUGGCAAACUAAGGCUCAGUACAGUUCAGCAGACUUUUGGCCUCUCUCUUAUUGAAAUGCUCCAUGACUCACACUGGAUCCUUCUCUGUGCUGAUAGCGAAGGCUUCAUCCCGUUAACUUUCACAGCCACUCAGGAAAUAACCAUAAGAGAUGGCAGCUCAAAUGUCUUCAGAGACUCUGCCUCAGAGUCUUAAUCCUGGUCCUUCUCUCGAAGUCUAUAGAGAGCUUAGCGUCCAAAGUGUAGAUGCCACCAGCUGUCCCACCCAUUUAGGCAGUAUGGCCUGAUACCUUUUUUUUUUUUUUUUUUUUUUUUUUUUUGAGAGAGAGAGAGAAUCCCAAGCAGGCUCUGCUGCUGUCAGCCCACAGGGCCCAAACCCACAAACCGUGAGAUCAUGACCUGAGCCGAAGCCAAGAGUCGGGCUUUCAACCAACAGAGCCACCCUGGUGCCCUGGCCUGAUACUUGUUUGCAGAGUUAUUUGCUGCAUAGCUUUUCAGAUGAGGCCAUUACAGACAAGAUCUGUCUUCUACCAUGGACUCGUCUCAGCUGGGAUUUGCAUUGUCGCUCAGAAGUGAAGCACAUGCCAUGGUUGGCUUGGCCACUUGCCCCCCAUUUCCCCCAGGCUGAGGCUCACUGCUCUGUAGCAGAGCUCAGUCUUUGUUAGAUGGCUCAAAAAGUGGUUGUUUAUGUAUUCAUGACCGUGUGGUUUUGUCUAAGGGCAGAAUUCCCAGAACAAAACAAUAUUAUGGUGCCAUAUGGAUUGUGUUUUAUGGUUUCUCUGAGGCUUUCUGUCCCUUGCCCAAAACCGUUAAAGCUGUCUUAGAAGCACUUAAAAGGUACUUCGGCAUUGUUAUAGAUCAUUUCCUUGGCUGAUGAGAGCAAGAGGUACCAGAGAACAUAUGCUCCAGCAUGUCCUGUUUACCCCAAACCAGCAGGAAUCAGCAGAGCUCAAAAGAAGACCAAAAAAAUCAACUGACUUCUGUGCCCAGCCCUACCUAGAACAGGAAGUCGUUCUGAUGUUGGCUGGACCUGCCAGGAUUUAAACCUAACUCUCUUGCUUCCUUAAAAAAUUCUGGCUAACUAUGGUCUAGAUACUCCUAAAAACUAGUCCUAGCAGAUUUCAAAUGAAAUUUCAAAUGCUGUGAUCCCUCUGGACCCCACCUGAGCGUGUGCGUGUGUCAAUAGUGCAAUGCCUAGCACAGAGGUCAGAGGCGUGAUUCUAUGCUGUCGCUCCUCCUGAUUUUCUCCCUGAAAUGCUUCACCCCCCAUCCCCCAGUUUGGGGAUCAUAAAAAUGUCCUGUUUUUCUCCCAGUACACUCCCUUAGUUACAUUGUCACUUUAAUUUUGAUGUUUUUCUUUUCCCUCCAUUCAGGUCUUAGAGACCAGCACGGAGUCUGUGAGAGAAAGUAGUUCAGAAAAUUGGAAAUUUCACUGAAUCUAAGGUAUUUAUUAUUUGAUACACGCAAUAGAUGUGAAGUAUAGGAAGGCUUAAUAAUAAAAUGAACCACCCAUCACCUAAUGUAAGAACCAGAACAUUACUAGAAACCAUUCUGGGUCCUUCUCUGUAGAGACAGUUCCACCCCAGAGGCAACUAAUGUCUUGAUUGUUGUAAUUAUCAUUUCCUCAUUCCUUGUCUUUUUCACCACAACCACAUGUACACAUUGCCCUAAACAAUAGUCUGUAUUUCCCCUUGUUUUGGAGCUUUAUACAACGGCAUUAUAUUGCAUAUAGUCUUCUGCAACUUUCACAUUUAUUUCUUUAAUCAACAUCCUGUUGGGUACUUGAGGGGAAUCCUCUUUCUCUCUGUGUAGCUUCCUCCUCUACAAUACUCUGUCCUGCAAACUCUAGCCACUUUGGUCUCCCCAAACUCACCUUCUCAGCUCAGAGUCCUCUGGGCUCCAAAUGGUGCUCUACACGGUCAUCUGGGAACCCUCAAGGCAAUCCCUAAGAUCGCCUCAUUUGUUUCCCAUCUCUCAGAGAUUCCUCCUUCAUUGCCUCAUGCCCAGUGUCUUGAAAACUUAUUUCAUAUAUGCAGACCAGUCGUUUUUAAUCGCUUCAACUGAGAGGCUGGAUCUGGUCUUUACUACUCCCAUCAUGGCCAAGAGCAAGUCUUUCCACAUCUUGUUCAUUUAUUUCUAGGUACUUUAUAUUUUUUGUUGCUACUGUUUAAAAAUUAUGUUCUAUAACUGUUGCUGGAAUAUAAAAAUGUAAUUUUGUUAAUUUUAUGUCCAGCUACCUUGCUGUGCUCUCUUAUUCUAAUAAUGUAUCUGUAGGUCCUUUUGGGUUUUCUAAGUAGGUAAUCAUAUCAUUUAUAAAUAAUGACAAUUUUUUUCUUCCUUUCUAAUUAUUAUACUGUUAUCUUACUGCACUAGCUAGAUCCCCUGAUGAAGUGUUGAACAGAAGCAUUGAUAGUGAGUAAUCCUUCCCUUAUUCCUGAUUUUAAAGGGACUAUUUCAUCGUUAACAUUUUGCCACUAGGUGACAUAUUUCACCAUUAAGAAUGUUUGCUAUAGGUUUUUGGUAGAUAGCCUUACUCAAGUUUAAAAAUCUCUACUUGUGGUGCCUGGGUGGCUCAGUAGGUUAAGCAUCUGACUCUUGAUUUCAGCUCAGGUCAUGAUCUCAUGGUUUGUGAGUUCAAGUCCUGCCUGCAUCAGGCUUUGUGGUGGUAGUGCAGACCCUGCCUGGGAUUCUCUCUCUCUCUACCCCUCUCUCUCCACCCCUGUCCCCCACGCUGGCCUGUGUGUGCAUAGGCUCUCUCUGUCUCUCAAAAUAAACUUCAAAAAAAAUGUCCUUUUCCUCUUGGUUUGCUUAGUACUUUUAUCAUGAAUGAAUAUUAGCUUUUUAUUAAAUGAUUCUGUAUCUAUUGAGAUCAUAAUUUUUUUCCUCCUUUAUUAAUGUGGUAAAUUUCACUGGACAGAUUUUUCUUUUUUUUAUUAUUAUUAUUAUUUUUUUUAAUAUUUAUUCUUGAGAGACAGAGCAUGAGUGAGGAGGGGCAGAGAGAGAGGGAGGCACAAUCUGAAGCAGGCUCCAGGCUCCAAGCUGACAACACAGCGCCCAAUGCAGGGCUCGAACCCACAAACUAUGAGAUCAUGACCAGAGCCGAAGUUGGACACUUAACUGACUGAGCCACCUAGGAGCCCCUUAGUUUACUAGUAUUUUGUUUCAGAUUCUUGCUUCUAUGUUCUGUGCUCUUUUAAUCCUCUAAGGUUAGCCUGUAAAUUACCUUUCAUUUUUACUUUUCUUGUCUGGUUUUGGUAUUAAACUUAUUCUGGCCUGAUACAAUGAGUUGUAGAGUUUGCCCUUUUUCUAUUCUCUGGAAAAGUUUUCAAAAGCUAUGAAAUGAUCCUUGAUAAAAAGUUUGAUAGCACUUGGUAAAAUCAUUUGAAUCUCGUGGUUUGGGUGUA